GGAGGGUGUCUAGCCGGUCGCC
rnacentral:miRNA from 1 species